rnacentral:rRNA from 1 species
UGAGGAAUAUUGGUCAAUGGACGAGAGUCUGAACCAGCCAAGUAGCGUGCAGGAAGACGGCCCUAUGGGUUGUAAACUGCUUUUAUAAGGGAAUAAAGUGAGUCUCGUGAGACUUUUUGCAUGUACCUUAUGAAUAAGGACCGGCUAAUUCCGUGCCAGCAGCCGCGGUAAUACGGAAGGUCCGGGCGUUAUCCGGAUUUAUUGGGUUUAAAGGGAGCGUAGGCCGGAGAUUAAGCGUGUUGUGAAAUGUAGAUGCUCAACAUCUGCACUGCAGCGCGAACUGGUUUCCUUGAGUACGCACAAAGUGGGCGGAAUUCGUGGUGUAGCGGUGAAAUGCUUAGAUAUCACGAAGAACUCCGAUUGCGAAGGCAGCUCACUGGAGCGCAACUGACGCUGAAGCUCGAAAGUGCGGGUAUCGAACA